GGUCUGAGAGGAUGAUCAGCUCACCUGGAAACUGAGACACGGUCCAGACUCCUACGGGAGGCAGCAGUGGGGAAUAUUGGACAAUGGGCGCAAGCCUGAUCCAGCCAUACCGCGUGGGUGAAGAAGGCCUUCGGGUUGUAAAGCCCUUUUGUUGGGAAAGAAAAGCAUUCGGUUAAUACCCGGGUGUUCUGACGGUACCCAAAGAAUAAGCACCGGCUAACUUCGUGCCAGCAGCCGCGGUAAUA
rnacentral:rRNA from 1 species